UGAAUACGAGACGCUAAGGCGUCGAAGUAGUGUAUGUCAUACUUCCAAGAAAAGCUUGCACUGUCAUAAGUAAAAAAUGCCUGUACCAUAACCGACACAGGUGGGUAGGUAGAGUAUACUAAGGGGCGCGAGAUAACUCUCUCUAAGGAACUCGGCAAAAUAACUCCGUAACUUCGGGAGAAGGAGUACCUUAUUCUAUAAGGUUGCAAUAACAAGAUCCAAGCAACUGUUUAUCAAAAACACAGGUCUCCGCUAAGUCGUAAGACGAUGUAUGGGGGCUGACGCCUGCCCAGUGCCAGAAGGUUAAAGAAGUCGGUUAGCAUUAGCGAAGCUGGUAGCUGAAGCCCUGGUGAACGGCGGCCGUAACGAUAACGGUCCUAAGGUAGCGAAAUUCCUUGUCGGGUAAGUUCCGACCCGCACGAAAGGCGUAAUGAUUUGGAUACUGUCUCGGAGAGGGGCUCGGUGAAAUAGACUUGUCUGUGAAGAUGCGGACUACCUGCACCAGGACAGAAAGACCCUAUGAAGCUUUACUGUAACUUGAAAUUGAAAUUGGACUUUAUUCGCGCAGUAUAGGUGGGAGGUGUUGAUUAUAAUCUUGCGGGAUUAUUGGAGCCAUCAGUGAGAUACCACUCUUGUAAUGUUAGAUUUCUAACUUUGAAUCAUUAUCUGGUCAAAGGACAGUUUCAGGCGGGCAGUUUGACUGGGGCGGUCGCCUCCCAAACGGUAACGGAGGCGUACAAAGGUUUCCUCUGAACGGGUAGAAAUCGUAUCUAGAGUGUAAAGGCAUAAGGAAGCUUGACUGUGAGACCUACAAGUCGAACAGGGACGAAAGUCGGUCUUAGUGAUCUGACGGUACUGAGUGGAAAGGCCGUCACUCAACGGAUAAAAGUUACUCUAGGAUAACAGGCUGAUCUCCCCCAAGAGUUCACAUCGACGGGGAGGUUUGGCACCUCGAUGUCGGCUCAUCGCAUCCUGGGGCGGUAGUACGUCCCAAGGGUUGGGCUGUUCGCCCAUGAAAGCGGUACGCGAGCUGGGUUCAGAACGUCGUGAGACAGUUCGGUCCAUAUCCGGUGUAGGCGUUAGAAUAUUGAGAGGAGCCUUCUUUAGUACGAGAGGACCGAGAAGGACAUACCUCUGGUGUACCAGUUAUCGUGCCAACGGUAAACGCUGGGUAGCUAUGUAUGGAGUGGAUAACCGCUGAAAGCAUCUAAGUGGGAAGCCCACCUCAAGAUAAGUAUUC
rnacentral:rRNA from 1 species